rnacentral:rRNA from 1 species
GACAGAGGGUGCAAACGUUGCUCGGAAUUACUGGGCGUAAAGCGCGUGUAGGCGGGUCGGAAAGUCGGGCGUGAAAUCCCCAGGCUCAACCUGGGAACUGCACUCGAAACUUCCGGUCUAGAGUGGUGGAGAGGGAAGUGGAAUUCCUGGUGUAGAGGUGAAAUUCGUAGAUAUCAGGAGGAACACCAGUGGCGAAGGCGGCUUCCUGGACACCAACUGACGCUGAGGAGCGAAAGCGUGGGGAGCGAACAGG